UGUGGGAUUUCUUCAAUAAACCAACCGAAAGACCUGGCUCAGGGAUCGGAAACACUUUGUGGGAGAAAAGUAAUUUUUUACAGUACUUUUACAAAAAACGCCUUUCCAAGAACCUCGUGAGAAAAAAAAAAUCCUAUUUCUUUCUAAAUUCACGCCAGAGAGAUUUUACACCAUCGCCGUCUUAAAAGCUGAUGCAACACGACACAGAAAUACUGAUAUUUCCACUAUUACCUGUAAAAUAUCCUGGCUUGAAUUAUAACAAAGUUAUAAUUCAAGCCAGGAUCUCUCAGUGUAUAGACAGACCGUCCUUACCAAAUGCCAUCGAAAUCGGAUACAUUACAUGGGCUGACAAGGAAAUGGUCGAAAUGUAUUACUCCGCGAAUGUCUCUCUCUCUCUCCUUACGACACAUCGCUAUCCACAUCCGACUUCUACCUCAUAUAAAUUUCGCCUUCGUGAGCCACGCUACGUGUUUAUUGGCCAAUACGUCACAGAAUCAGUCAUGGCAUAUUUAUUAUCAAGCUAUAGUCAGCUUUACGUACAACUGGUCUUCGUUCCGCGGAUGAAAAGAAAUCCUUGUGCUAAUUGGUCAUUAUACUGACUAGAAGAGGUCCUCGUGCUGCUAUCUCUCGAUCACAGCCGGUACUAAUGUAAUAUCUCCGCAGCACUGGGGCAUGUCACGUGACGUCAAGGCCGACAGCGCUGGCUGUGGGUCUGGGAACUCUGCCGAAUUAUGAAGUGGAACGACUGUUUGAUUGUGCUAAUGGAGUCUUGGCGUGAUCUUUGCAGUUGUCGAGGACAAAAUGAAGGAAAAUGAAGGAGAGAAGAGAGGAAGGAUACGAAAAAGGUUUCACGCAAGUGCGUGAGUCACGUAAUGGAUGAGACGCAACAUCAUGGACCUUCAACGAGGAACGUCUGUCUGUCGACCCGAAACCAUCAACGGAUUUCAACGAAAAUUCGAUUUGGAGAGAUUUACCAUUAGAAAUUGUAGUGAGAAUAUCUUAUUUUGAUUUAGAUAUAUCGAAAACAUUUCAUCACAGAAAAAUAGUCAUACAACGUACACGAGGAGCAUUCCAAAAGCAAUUUCAAUUAAGUUUCUGGUGUGUUAAUAAUAUCUGAGUCCUUGACGAGAAGCUAAUAGUCGCUCAGCUAGUCAAAGACUCCCACAUUGCCUUACAGGAAACCUGAAGUUCAUUACCGUAUCCACUGGUCCCUAUUUCGGAACAGAUCAACUCAAUUCACAUCGUCACAAUCUCAUAUAUAUCUCUAAGAUCUAUUUUAAUAUCAUCCUAUAAUCUGCGUUUAGGUAUCCUUCGGAUUUUCCGACUAAAUUUUUUUUUUUUGGAAAAUUUUCCAUCCCUCCCAUGCCCUUAUAUCUCGCAGAUUUUCUCAUCUUACUGAUAAUUUGGUGAAACAUUCAUCUUAUACGCUAAUCGUUAUGCAAUCUUCUCCAGCCUCCUGUUACGUCUUCCUACUCAGGUUCACGUUCUUCUCAACAGCUUCGUGUUACGAAAUGUUCUCGAUACAGAACUUGCAUGGCGUCCAAACAAUAUCAGAGGGCGACUACUGCUUAAAAAUUAAGAACACAGGUAGAAAGAUACGAGAGAAAAGAAAACUGUUCGUAUUAUGUAGAGCGUAUUUGAAACUUAUAAAUACUUAAUACACGAAAAACGAAAGCAUUUCCUUCAACUUGUUUAUUACUGUCAAUAAAAUUCACUAUUGACUAA